GGGCCUGCCAGGAAUCGAUGGCAGACAGGUGUGGUCAUUGAUCAAGGGAGAGUGGCACUACACUCUUUAAAAACAAAAGUGCAACGCGAUCAAACGCAAACACAAUCGCAAAGGUUCGCAGCAUGUUCCGCAUGCCUGUGGCCGCUCUAGCUGUUGCCUAAUUAUUGGCCGGCUCAUCUGACUCGCACAUGUCUGCUAGCGAGACUCAGGUGUUAUAUCGCAGACUAUAAUGACUCUGACCGCAGUCAUCGAAAAUGCAGGUCACAAAGAUACGUGCGCUUAGGCUCCACUUUUAUCACGUAUCUAAACAAGUGGAGAUAACCUUGUAAGCAGUUAAUGUCAUAUCACUGACCAGACGCGGGUUCAAUUCCCGCCAGGUCCACCA
rnacentral:tmRNA from 5 species